rnacentral:rRNA from 1 species
UACGAAGGGGGCUAGCGUUGCUCGGAAUCACUGGGCGUAAAGGGUGCGUAGGCGGGUCUUUAAGUCAGGGGUGAAAUCCUGGAGCUCAACUCCAGAACUGCCUUUGAUACUGAAGAUCUUGAGUUCGGGAGAGGUGAGUGGAACUGCGAGUGUAGAGGUGAAAUUCGUAGAUAUUCGCAAGAACACCAGUGGCGAAGGCGGCUCACUGGCCCGACACUGACGCUGAGGCACGAAAGCGUGGGUAGCAAACAGG